rnacentral:sRNA from 1 species
UACCUAAAAGCACCGUUAGGGCAAGCGA